UAGGGAAUCUUCGGCAAUGGACGAAAGUCUGACCGAGCAACGCCGCGUGAGUGAAGAAGGUUUUCGGAUCGUAAAACUCUGUUGUUAGAGAAGAACAAGGACGUUAGUAACUGAACGUCCCCUGACGGUAUCUAACCAGAAAGCCACGGCUAACUACGUGCCAGCAGCCGCGGUAAUACGUAGGUGGCAAGCGUUGUCCGGAUUUUUUGGGCGUAAAGCGAGCGCAGGCGGUUUCUUAAGUCUGAUGUGAAAGCCCCCGGCUCAACCGGGGAGGGUCAUUGGAAACUGAGAGACUUGAGUGCAGAAGAGGAGAGUGGAAUUCCAUGUGUAGCGAUGAAAUGCGUAGAUAUAUGGAAGAACACCGGUGGCGAAGGCGGCUCUCUGGUCUGUAACUGACGCUGGGGCUCGAAAGCGUGGGGAGCAAACAGG
rnacentral:rRNA from 1 species